rnacentral:rRNA from 1 species
UACGUAGGUGGCAAGCGUUUGUCCGGAUUUACUGGGCGUAAAGAGCGCGCAGGCGGUCGUUCAAGUCGCGUGUGAAAGCCCCCGGCUCAACUGGGGAGGGUCACGCGAUACUGAUCGACUCGAAGGCAGGAGAGGGUAGUGGAAUUCCCGGUGUAGUGGUGAAAUGCGUAGAUAUCGGGAGGAACACCCGUGGCGCAAGCGACCACCUGGCCGAGACCUGACGCUGAGGCACGAGAGCGUGGGGAGCGAACCGG